AGUUGACAAUAGGUCACAUGCCAAGCCCAGUGACACAGGAAGAAGAUAUCAUGUAGCCAGCUGGCAAAGGGGCAGAGGUAAAGAGCAGAAGGACGGGGAGCCAUACUGCCCAACACCACCCCAUUCCCUGAGUCAUGGAACCAAAACUCAAAGGAAUGAAGAAAUUUGUGUAGGCUUUGAGCCUGAAGCAAAGGGGAAGGGGGCUGAGCUUUGAACUUGGACAUUCCUGACCCCAAAGCUCUACUCAGAACUAUGUGAUUCUACUGUCUUCAUUUUUAGAAGGUGCUUAUACAAGGAUUUUCCAUGCUAAGGCAGCAUCUUCCAGGCCAAAUGGAGUGUUGAGUAAUUGCCUGCUUAAUAUGGUUGAUAGAGAAAGCAAACUUGAAGCCAAAACACUCUAAUUUCCCCUAAACAUAUGUAAUCAUCUUAAUUUUCUCUUUGCCUCUGUUGACAGAGCUUGGGAGAGACAACUCCUUCUCACCAGUCAGCCAGCGUUUCCCUGGGAGGCCCACACAGAGCAACAGGGCUGGUGUCCUUUGCUUCCCAAAUCCACUAAUGUCACUGCCGCCCCUGGACUGGUCCCUCACCCCACCCUUGGGAGUCUUUCUGGCUGGAUGCUGUUUGGAUGAGUUUGAACACUUGCAAUCAGGAGCCUAUGGUUUGGGUGAUGUGUCACCCAGGGUCGGGCUCCACCCACUGCAGUCCAUCUGGGGUCUGAAUGUUACCCAUUAAUGAAAGAUUUGCUGCAGUGGGGCCCCUGCUGUGGAUGGAGGAAGCUGCUGAUUGGGGUCCUGGCUGCUGCUGAGGGCAGUGUUGUCCUAAUGUGAGAGGCAGACAGAGCACAUGUUCAAAGAACUAAAUGCAAGCCCCACAUCAGGACUGGUUCCCUCUAUGGGAACACCCUGGGAGCUGCCCAUGUACAGCUCAAGAUACUGAAGGUUUAGGUGACAUCUUUUUCCAGGGUCCUGUUCCCAGGCACAGGCAGGAAGCUACUUGGCAC
rnacentral:lncRNA from 1 species